rnacentral:rRNA from 1 species
UACGUAGGAUGCAAGCGUUGUCCGGAUUUACUGGGCGUAAAGCGCGCGCAGGCGGCUUUUUAACUAUGGCGUGAAAUCUCCCUGCUCAACGGGGAGGGUGCGUUGUAGACUGGAAAGCUUGAGGUCGGUAGAGGGGGGUGGAAUUGACGGUGUAGCGGUGAAAUGCUUAGAUAUCGUCAAGAACACCGAUAGUGAAGACAGCUUACUAGGCUUAUACUGACGCUGAGGCACGAAAGUGUGGGGAUCAAACAGG